ensembl:lncRNA PPP1CB-DT PPP1CB divergent transcript
ACGGUGGCGCAGGCGCCAGGGAGGUUCCCCGGCUUUGCCGCGCGGAGGAAGUCCCGGUUACGCAGAGCGCGCUGGGGCAGGGCUGACCUUCCCCUUUCUCUACUUCACUGGCCUCCUCCAGACGUGGUGGUUGCGCCCUUUCGGCCUCGCUUUCCGUUUUUUGGCUUCAUCCCCUAGAUCUGCAAACAGUUCCUCGUGUUUCUUCCGUUAGCCGGGAAACGCGAACUGCAGCGUUUGGGACCCGGGUUUGCGCGUGUGGAAAGCAAAAGGGGUUACUCUGCUGGAGUUCGACAUUGCAAAUAAAGAUAAUGUCUGUGCCUAUCAGAUAAAGGCAAACCAGUGCUCAGAGGAACCCAACCAUCUCUGAAUUGAGACCAGAGAGCUGUCUCUAUGGAUAGUCCUUAGAGAAGGCAUUUCGGAACACAGUAAACAGCAGCCUGGUGACUCCGAUUACAGGGCCAGUUGCCUUUGUUACAAUAAAAGCAAGUCAUCUACACAGACAAACUGCGGCCUGGACCAGCUGGUGAAACAUAAUUCUGAAUCCUGCCCACAGCCUUCGGUGGUUUUGGAUGAAAGGCCAGCGCCUUGGGAGCCCUGCGUUUGAUUUCAAGUUUUAAGGCCGGCACUGGUGGAGCAAUGAAUGGUGAAAGCUCUCCCCUUAAAGGAGCACAGUUGCCUUUAGGUGACUGCUAACUCAGGCUUUUGCUGAGGACAGUGUUUACUUUGUGAGCUUAAUGACAGGGCUGGCUUUCUGGGAGUGUUGCAAUGAAACAGACUCAGACACAGGCCAUCAUGGGCCUCCUCCCUAGCAAGGCCGCCACGGCUGGCAUCUCAAGAGCAGUCCGUUGAACUUGGGAUUUGGGUGUGAGACACAGUUUCAUCAGAAGAAUUUAAACCAAAGUCUACAUUUGCCCUCUAGAUAAAUGUGUGUGUUCAGCAGCAACCACAACUCCUUGCCUCAUUCUCUUGGUUGAUUAUGUGACUGUGAGAAGAAAAGCAAAAGCAAAAA